rnacentral:rRNA from 1 species
GCAGAAUUCGCCUUAGAGUUUGAUCCUGGCUCAGGAUGAACGCUGGCGGUAUGCUUUACACAUGCAAGUCGUACGAGAGUUUUUAACUCAAGUGGCGGACGGGUGAGUAACACGUAAGAAUUUGCCUUUAGGAGGGGGAUAACAACUGGAAACGGUUGCUAAUACCCCCAUAUGCUUUCGAGUAAAAUGGAUUUUCCGCCUAAAGAGAAGCUUGCGGCUGAUUAGCUUGUUGGUGAGGUAAUGGCUCACCAAGGCGACGAUCAGUAUCUGGUUUGAGAGGACGAUCAGACACACUGGAACUGAGACACGGUCCAGACUCCUACGGGAGGCAGCAGUGGGGAAUUUUCCGCAAUGGGCGAAAGCCUGACGGAGCAAUACCGCGUGAGGGAUGACGGCCUAUGGGUUGUAAACCUCUUUUUUCAGGGAGGAAUCAAUGACGUGUACCUGAAGAAUAAGCAUCGGCUAACUCCGUGCCAGCAGCCGCGGUAAGACGGAGGAUGCAAGUGUUAUCCGGAAUCACUGGGCGUAAAGCGUCUGUAGGUGGUCAAAUAAGUCAACUGUUAAAUCUUGAGGCUCAACCUCAAAAUCGCAGUCGAAACUAUUCGACUAGAGUAUAGUAGGGGUAAAGGGAAUUUCCAGUGGAGCGGUGAAAUGCGUAGAGAUUGGAAAGAACACCGAUGGCGAAGGCACUUUACUGGGCUAUUACUAACACUGAGAGACGAAAGCUAGGGUAGCAAAUGGGAUUAGAUACCCCAGUAGUCCUAGCCGUAAACAAUGGAUACUAGAUGUUGAACAGAUCGACCUGUGCAGUAUCAAAGCUAACGCGUUAAGUAUCCCGCCUGGGAAGUAUGCUCGCAAGAGUGAAACUCAAAUGAAUUGACGGGGAAGGGC